AAAUCAUAAACAUCCAACUUAAUAGCAUAGCACCUUUAUGAACAGAAAGCUCAUGCAAAUUCUAAAUAAGUAACUAAUAAAAGCUAUGCUACUGAAAACCAGAUGGCCCUGCAUUUACCACUCUAAUCUCACACUAUACACAUUCCGCAUCAAUCUCCUCCUGCCAGAACCACACAACAUCAAAAUAUUAAUCAAAAUCUACUCGUUGAAGUGCAAAA
rnacentral:misc_RNA from 1 species